rnacentral:lncRNA from 1 species
GGAGUGUACCACGGCUCACUGGCCUCAGACCACGUGCCAAGAUCCUAGAAUCCUUCUUUACUGCUUCCAGCUACAGUGAAACUCCUCAAGUCUUUCACUCGGGGCAGUUCCCAAAACACAGGCCAUGAGAGGAAAAGAAGUGGAAAGAACAGGAAGACAAACAAACAGAAGAAUGGAUGUAUGACAAAGACUAUCAUCAACCAAUUCUUUUGACUGGCAGUGGUGACCAAAAGCAAAGUUUAUGGGAAUACACAUUUCAG